rnacentral:rRNA from 1 species
UACGAAGGGAGCUAGCGUUGUUCGGAAUCACUGGGCGUAAAGCGCACGUAGGCGGAUGUGCCAGUCAGGGGUGAAAUCCCGGAGCUCAACUUCGGAACUGCCCUUGAUACAGCACGUCUUGAGUCCGAGAGAGGUGGAUGGAAUUCCUAGUGUAGAGGUGAAAUUCGUAGAUAUUAGGAAGAACACCGGUGGCGAAGGCGGUCCACUGGCUCGGUACUGACGCUGAGGUGCGAAAGCGUGGGGAGCAAACAGG